ACGGGGGGUGCAAGCGUUGUUCGGAAUUAUUGGGCGUAAAGAGCGCGUAGGCGGCUGAAUAAGUGAGAUGUGAAAUCCAUGGGCUUAACUCAGGAAGUGCAUUGGAAACUAUUCAGCUUGAGUAGGGGAGAGGAAAGUGGAAUUCCUGGUGUAGAGGUGAAAUGCGUAGAUAUCAGGAGGAACACCAGUGGCGAAGGCGACUUUCUGGCCCUAUACUGACGCUGAGGCGCGAGAGCGUGGGUAGCAAACAG
rnacentral:rRNA from 1 species